rnacentral:rRNA from 1 species
CUGGCUCAGGAUGAACGCUGGCGGCGUGCCUAACACAUGCAAGUCGAACGGAAAUUACAGAAGGAAGUUUUCGGAUGGAAUUUUGUAAUUUUAGUGGCGGACGGGUGAGUAACACGUGGG